rnacentral:rRNA from 1 species
UACGUAGGGGCCUAGCGUUGUCCGGAUUUAUUGGGCGUAAAGAGCGUGUAGGCGGCCUGAAAGGUCAGCUGUGAAAACUCGAGGCUUAACCUCGAGACGUCGGUUGAAACCAUCUGGCUAGAGUCCGGAAGAGGAGUGUGGAAUUCCCGGUGUAGCGGUGAAAUGCGCAGAUAUCGGGAAGAACACCUAUGGCGAAGGCAGCUCUCUGGGACGGUACUGACGCUGAGAGACGAAAGCUAGGGGAGCGAAUGGG